rnacentral:rRNA from 1 species
GGUUAAGCGACUAAGCGUACACGGUGGAUGCCCUGGCAGUCAGAGGCGAUGAAGGACGUGCUAAUCUGCGAUAAGCGUCGGUAAGGUGAUAUGAACCGUUAUAACCGGCGAUUUCCGAAUGGGGAAACCCAGUGUGUUUCGACACACUAUCAUUAACUGAAUCCAUAGGUUAAUGAGGCGAACCGGGGGAACUGAAACAUCUAAGUACCCCGAGGAAAAGAAAUCAACCGAGAUUCCCCCAGUAGCGGCGAGCGAACGGGGAGCAGCCCAGAGCCUGAAUCAGUGUGUGUGUUAGUGGAAGCGUCUGGAAAGGCGUGCGAUACAGGGUGACAGCCCCGUACACAAAAAUGCACAUGCUGUGAGCUCGAUGAGUAGGGCGGGACACGUGGUAUCCUGUCUGAAUAUGGGGGGACCAUCCUCCAAGGCUAAAUACUCCUGACUGACCGAUAGUGAACCAGUACCGUGAGGGAAAGGCGAAAAGAACCCCGGCGAGGGGAGUGAAAAAGAACCUGAAACCGUGUACGUACAAGCAGUGGGAGCACGCUUAGGCGUGUGACUGCGUACCUUUUGUAUAAUGGGUCAGCGACUUAUAUUCUGUAGCAAGGUUAACCGAAUAGGGGAGCCGAAGGGAAACCGAGUCUUAACUGGGCGUUAAGUUGCAGGGUAUAGACCCGAAACCCGGUGAUCUAGCCAUGGGCAGGUUGAAGGUUGGGUAACACUAACUGGAGGACCGAACCGACUAAUGUUGAAAAAUUAGCGGAUGACUUGUGGCUGGGGGUGAAAGGCCAAUCAAACCGGGAGAUAGCUGGUUCUCCCCGAAAGCUAUUUAGGUAGCGCCUCGUGAAUUCAUCUCCGGGGGUAGAGCACUGUUUCGGCAAGGGGGUCAUCCCGACUUACCAACCCGAUGCAAACUGCGAAUACCGGAGAAUGUUAUCACGGGAGACACACGGCGGGUGCUAACGUCCGUCGUGAAGAGGGAAACAACCCAGACCGCCAGCUAAGGUCCCAAAGUCAUGGUUAAGUGGGAAACGAUGUGGGAAGGCCCAGACAGCCAGGAUGUUGGCUUAGAAGCAGCCAUCAUUUAAAGAAAGCGUAAUAGCUCACUGGUCGAGUCGGCCUGCGCGGAAGAUGUAACGGGGCUAAACCAUGCACCGAAGCUGCGGCAGCGACGCUGAUGCGUUGUUGGGUAGGGGAGCGUUCUGUAAGCCUGCGAAGGUGUGCUGUGAGGCAUGCUGGAGGUAUCAGAAGUGCGAAUGCUGACAUAAGUAACGAUAAAGCGGGUGAAAAGCCCGCUCGCCGGAAGACCAAGGGUUCCUGUCCAACGUUAAUCGGGGCAGGGUGAGUCGACCCCUAAGGCGAGGCCGAAAGGCGUAGUCGAUGGGAAACAGGUUAAUAUUCCUGUACUUGGUGUUACUGCGAAGGGGGACGGAGAAGGCUAUGUUGGCCGGGCGACGGUUGUCCCGGUUUAAGCGUGUAGGCUGGUUUUCCAGGCAAAUCCGGAAAAUCAAGGCUGAGGCGUGAUGACGAGGCACUACGGUGCUGAAGCAACAAAUGCCCUGCUUCCAGGAAAAGCCUCUAAGCAUCAGGUAACAUCAAAUCGUACCCCAAACCGACACAGGUGGUCAGGUAGAGAAUACCAAGGCGCUUGAGAGAACUCGGGUGAAGGAACUAGGCAAAAUGGUGCCGUAACUUCGGGAGAAGGCACGCUGAUAUGUAGGUGAAGCGACUUGCUCGUGGAGCUGAAAUCAGUCGAAGAUACCAGCUGGCUGCAACUGUUUAUUAAAAACACAGCACUGUGCAAACACGAAAGUGGACGUAUACGGUGUGACGCCUGCCCGGUGCCGGAAGGUUAAUUGAUGGGGUCAGCGCAAGCGAAGCUCUUGAUCGAAGCCCCGGUAAACGGCGGCCGUAACUAUAACGGUCCUAAGGUAGCGAAAUUCCUUGUCGGGUAAGUUCCGACCUGCACGAAUGGCGUAAUGAUGGCCAGGCUGUCUCCACCCGAGACUCAGUGAAAUUGAACUCGCUGUGAAGAUGCAGUGUACCCGCGGCAAGACGGAAAGACCCCGUGAACCUUUACUAUAGCUUGACACUGAACAUUGAGCCUUGAUGUGUAGGAUAGGUGGGAGGCUUUGAAGUGUGGACGCCAGUCUGCAUGGAGCCGACCUUGAAAUACCACCCUUUAAUGUUUGAUGUUCUAACGUUGACCCGUGAUCCGGGUUGCGGACAGUGUCUGGUGGGUAGUUUGACUGGGGCGGUCUCCUCCUAAAGAGUAACGGAGGAGCACGAAGGUUGGCUAAUCCUGGUCGGACAUCAGGAGGUUAGUGCAAUGGCAUAAGCCAGCUUGACUGCGAGCGUGACGGCGCGAGCAGGUGCGAAAGCAGGUCAUAGUGAUCCGGUGGUUCUGAAUGGAAGGGCCAUCGCUCAACGGAUAAAAGGUACUCCGGGGAUAACAGGCUGAUACCGCCCAAGAGUUCAUAUCGACGGCGGUGUUUGGCACCUCGAUGUCGGCUCAUCACAUCCUGGGGCUGAAGUAGGUCCCAAGGGUAUGGCUGUUCGCCAUUUAAAGUGGUACGCGAGCUGGGUUUAGAACGUCGUGAGACAGUUCGGUCCCUAUCUGCCGUGGGCGCUGGAGAACUGAGGGGGGCUGCUCCUAGUACGAGAGGACCGGAGUGGACGCAUCACUGGUGUUCGGGUUGUCAUGCCAAUGGCACUGCCCGGUAGCUAAAUGCGGAAGAGAUAAGUGCUGAAAGCAUCUAAGCACGAAACUUGCCCCGAGAUGAGUUCUCCCUGACUCCUUGAGAGUCCUGAAGGAACGUUGAAGACGACGACGUUGAUAGGCCGGGUGUGUAAGCGCAGCGAUGCGUUGAGCUAACCGGUACUAAUGAACCGUGAGGCUUAACCUU